GGAGAGGUGGCUGAGUGGUCAAUAGCGACAGUUUGCUAAACUGUUAUAUGGCAACAUAUCAUGGGUUCGAAUCCCAUUCUCUCCG
rnacentral:tRNA from 1 species